GUCCACGCCGUAAACGAUGGAUGCUAGCCGUCAGCAAGCAUGCUUGUUGGUGGCGCAGCUAACGCAUUAAGCAUCCCGCCUGGGGAGUACGGCCGCAAGGUUAAAACUCAAAGGAAUUGACGGGGGCCCGCACAAGCGGUGGAGCAUGUGGUUUAAUUCGACGCAACGCGAAGAACCUUACCAGCCCUUGACAUGCCCGGACGGUUUCCAGAGAUGGAUUCCUCCUAGCAAUAGGUCGGGACACAGGUGCUGCAUGGCUGUCGU
rnacentral:rRNA from 1 species